rnacentral:tRNA from 1 species
GCCAUCAUGGCUCAGUUGGUAGAGCAACGCAUUCGUAAUGCGUGGGUCGGGGGUUCGAGUCCCCCUGAUGGCU